CAAUUUAAACAACGAAGAGUUUGAUCCUGGCUCAGGAUGAACGCUAGCGACAGGCUUAACACAUGCAAGUCGAGGGGCAGCACAGGUAGCAAUACCGGGUGGCGACCGGCGCACGGGUGAGUAACGCGUAUGCAACUUGCCUAUCAGAGGGGGAUAACCCGGCGAAAGUCGGACUAAUACCGCAUGAAGCAGGGGCCCCGCAUGGGGAUAUUUGCUAAAGAUUCAUCGCUGAUAGAUAGGCAUGCGUU
rnacentral:rRNA from 1 species